AAAACUAGCCAGUCUUUUGGGUAUGAAACUCAUUUGGGCGAGAGUAGUACUAGGAUGGGUGACCUCCUGGGAAGUCCUCGUGAAAGGGUUUC
rnacentral:rRNA from 1 species